rnacentral:rRNA from 1 species
AUUGAACGCUGGCGGCAUGCCUUACACAUGCAAGUCGAACGGUAACAGGUCUUCGGAUGCUGACGAGUGGCGAACGGGUGAGUAAUACAUCGGAACGUGCCUAGUAGUGGGGGAUAACUACUCGAAAGAGUGGCUAAUACCGCAUGAGAUCUACGGAUGAAAGCAGGGGAUCGCAAGAUCUUGUGCUACUAGAGCGGCCGAUGGCAGAUUAGGUAGUUGGUGGGAUAAAAGCUUACCAAGCCGACGAUCUGUAGCUGGUCUGAGAGGCCGAUCAGCCACACUGGGACUGAGACACGGCCCAGACUCCUACGGGAGGCAGCAGUGGGGAAUUUUGGACAAUGGGCGAAAGCCUGAUCCAGCAAUGCCGCGUGCAGGAUGAAGGCCUUCGGGUUGUAAACUGCUUUUGUACGGAACGAAAAGCCCCGGGUUAAUACCCUGGGGUCAUGACGGUACCGUAGGAAUAAGCACCGGCUAACUACGUGCCAGCCGCCGCAGUAA